rnacentral:rRNA from 1 species
UACGAAGGGGGCUAGCGUUGCUCGGAAUCACUGGGCGUAAAGGGCGCGUAGGCGGCCUUUUAAGUCGGAGGUGAAAGCCCAGGGCUCAACCCUGGAAUUGCCUUCGAUACUGGGAGUCUUGAGUUCGGAAGAGGUUGGUGGAACUGCGAGUGUAGAGGUGAAAUUCGUAGAUAUUCGCAAGAACACCGGUGGCGAAGGCGGCCAACUGGACCAUUACUGACGCUGAGGCGCGAAAGCGUGGGGAGCAAACAGG